AAAGGAAUAGACGGGGACCCGCACAAGCAGCGGAGCGUGUGGUUUAAUUCGAGGCUACACGAAGAACCUUACCUGGGUUUGACAUGCUAGUGGUAGCGACGCGAAAGCCGAGCGACCCUUCGGGGAGCUAGCACAGGUGCUGCAUGGUUGUCGUCAGCUCGUGCCGUGAGGUGUUAGGUUAAGUCCUGCAACGAGCGCAACCCCUUCCGUUAGUUAAAUCUCUCUAGCGGGACUGCCGGGGUAACCCGGAGGAGGGUGGGGAUGACGUCAAAUCAGCAUGGCCUUUAUAUCCAGGGCUACACACACGCUACAAUGGUCGGCACAGUGGGCUGCAAUACCGCAAGGUGGAGCCAAUCCUCAAAGCCGGCCCCAGUUCAGAUUGGAGGCUGCAACCCGCCUCCAUGAAGUCGGAGUUGCUAGUAACCGCAGGUCAGCUAUACUGCGGUGAAUACGUUCCCGGGUCUUGUACACACCGCCCGU
rnacentral:rRNA from 1 species